CCAGCUGGCGCUAGAGAUGCAGUCGAGCGGACAGAUGGGAGCUUGCUCCCUGAUGUUAGCGGCGGACGGGUGAGUAACACGUGGGUAACCUGCCUGUAAGACUGGGAUAACUCCGGGAAACCGGGGCUAAUACCGGAUGGUUGUUUGAACCGCAUGGUUCAGACAUAAAAGGUGGCUUCGGCUACCACUUACAGAUGGACCCGCGGCGCAUUAGCUAGUUGGUGAGGUAACGGCUCACCAAGGCGACGAUGCGUAGCCGACCUGAGAGGGUGAUCGGCCACACUGGGACUGAGACACGGCCCAGACUCCUACGGGAGGCAGCAGUAGGGAAUCUUCCGCAAUGGACGAAAGUCUGACGGAGCAACGCCGCGUGAGUGAUGAAGGUUUUCGGAUCGUAAAGCUCUGUUGUUAGGGAAGAACAAGUGCCGUUCAAAUAGGGCGGCACCUUGACGGUACCUAACCAGAAAGCCACGGCUAACUACGUGCCAGCAGCCGCGGUAAUACGUAGGUGGCAAGCGUUGUCCGGAAUUAUUGGGCGUAAAGGGCUCGCAGGCGGUUUCUUAAGUCUGAUGUGAAAGCCCCCGGCUCAACCGGGGAGGGUCAUUGGAAACUGGGGAACUUGAGUGCAGAAGAGGAGAGUGGAAUUCCACGUGUAGCGGUGAAAUGCGUAGAGAUGUGGAGGAACACCAGUGGCGAAGGCGACUCUCUGGUCUGUAACUGACGCUGAGGAGCGAAAGCGUGGGGAGCGAACAGGAUUAGAUACCCUGGUAGUCCACGCCGUAAACGAUGAGUGCUAAGUGUUAGGGGGUUUCCGCCCCUUAGUGCUGCAGCUAACGCAUUAAGCACUCCGCCUGGGGAGUACGGUCGCAAGACUGAAACUCACAGGAAUUGACGGGGGGCCCGCACAAGCGUGGGAGCAUGUGGUUGAAGUCGGAGGCAACGCGGAGAACCUUACGCGGGUCGUGACAUCCUCUGACAAUCCUAGAGAUAUGGCGUGCCCGUUCGAGGGCAGAGUGACAGGG
rnacentral:rRNA from 1 species